UCACCACAGGCUGCCCCAGCCCCACUCACUUCCCUGCCCCCUUGCCCUCUCGCCGGAUCUCCUCCUCUCCCCUCGCCUGACCACUGCCUCCUGCUCCCGGCGGCCAGGCUGGGCUGCCGCCACCUCCUCACCCAGGACGGGCCAGGCCGUCCCACCGCCGCCGCCUCCCAGCAGCCAGCCGAGGCCGCUGAUGCCUCCUUUCCCCGGAUGGCCUUGCCAGGCCAGGCCGUCCCGCCACCAGCGCCUUCCAGCGCCCAGCCGAGGCCGCCCACUGCCACCUUACUCGGGAUGGCCCAGCGUCCAGGGGCAUAUUUUUGUGAUGCACAGUGAAAACUAGUGAAAAUGGCCUUCCCCUGCAUUUGUACAACAAUGGAACUCAAGGACUGGAGAUUUCCCCACAAAAAUACAGCAAUGGAAGUUCUUCUGCUCCACAUCACUGCCCAAGAGCUAGCCCCACAUGGACUUUGGGGCCCUGAUCCUACAAGUUCAGACUCAGUCAAGGCAUGAGGGAACCACUCAUUUUGAAGUUAAGCACUGCUAAUCACAAGCCAUUAACUUCUGUUUGAACUGAAUAUGUAUCUGUACUGCGUCUCCUUGCAAUCUAAAUACCCAUCUAUCAUUGGCAAAUUUCAAGUCUCAAGUGGGAGUCUGGUAAAGAAUGACAGAGGUAUACUGUAUUUCUACGAUGAUGGAGGGGGAAAACUACACACAUUACAUCCUACAUAAUAGUAAUAAUAACAACUCUCAUUUCUCUGAAUUCUAAGCUAUUCCCUCCGAUUUCUGGACCCUCAUUCGGCAAGUAACCACUAUUUCUUGGAAAUGUCAUCAGCAACGUGCUGCAAAUUCCACCUACCCUUUCAUUAAAGUAUUAGAAUUCCAAUAUAUGGCACCAACAUUUUUUGAUGCAAUCCAGACUUGUCUUAACAUGAUAGAGUCCAUAACUGGUUACUUUACACUUCUAGUUUUACAUUUGAAAACAAUUUGGUCAAACCCGAGCUAAAAUUAAGAGUUGCAUAUCAUUAUUUCAUGGUGGGGGCAUAAUGUUUGAAACAAACAUUGAGCAAACAAAUCAUAUUUAAUAUGCAAAAUGCCCAUCUGCCAGCUGCCACUACUCAUGUUUUCUUUGGACAAAGCCUUUUUGUUAAUAUAUUAUGUACUUAAAAAAAAUAA